rnacentral:lncRNA from 1 species
GGGGGGGGCGAGGUGGGGGGCGCGGGGCGGGGAGGGGCGGCUCGGCUUUCCCCAGGGCCCUAUUGGACCUGUCUGAAUUUAGGCCAUUUAAUGGGUGGCCGGCUUACUCUUUUCAUGGCUUUCAGAAGCAGACCCCGAAAAUAUCCUCCCUUUCCUCCAUCCCCAGGAUCAUUGGGAUUCCACCCUGCCUCGCUCUCUGGCACAGCCUGUCCACCAGGCCUGCGGAUGUCUGAUCCUGGGUCAUCUGCCUUACCCGCUUGUUCCCUGGCUUCGAACGGAAUGGAUGACUUUGCCUCAGGCAUGCUAACCUUCUCCUCCAGAAGCCCACAAUUCGUAUGGGGCGAGAAUUCAUAUGAAGAAACAGAGGAAAGGGAACCUCUGCCACUCCAGUGCAGCCUGACAUUCCUGAGAUGCCUCAAGACACAGCUAAACAAAUGGUGGUUGGAGAAAAAGAUGUAUAUGUGGGAUUGAAAGAAGAUAGGCAAGAACGAGAACGAGAACAGUCUUACAUGCCAAUCACGGGACGUGGACUUCCUCCUGACACAGUGGGACGAAAACAGUAUAGAGUGUGUUAGUUAGUACUCACUCACUUACUUAGUUCAGCCUAAUUCAGGUUCAUACAAAUUCCCCCUUUCCCUGUCUUUAGUGGUCAAAGAGAGUGUUCAUCUAUCUGAAGAAAUAUAAAAUUAUUAAAAUCACUUUUUCAGAUCCAAGGACCUCUUUGAACUGUCUAAAGUCAUCCUGCAUGCAAAUGUGCAUUUGCCUGGGUAGAUUAUCUAAAGCCUUCGUUGGAUUUCUCAAGUGAUCUAAAGCUCUAAAAAGUAUAAGAAUCACUACUCUGUUUAUUUUAGGAAAACUUUCAGCCCUUCCCAAAGUUGAUUUUUAUCCAAGUAGAAUUCUUUUAUGUCAAUCUCUUAAAAUUUACUGGUUGCUUGUUAUCCAUGUGGGUACCAUAUCAUGCACCAUUCUAUUAUUUCAAACAAAACAAUUCUUCACAUUUCCCAGCAGCAGGUUAAUCCAUGUUUGUUAACCAACUAAAACUGGACUUCUAAUCUCAAUUACUAUUCUUUAGACCUAUGGGAUUUUCAUACUUUCUAUGUGAGAAGUUUGAGACAAAGGUACUAUUUUGGAGAAUUACAGGUAUUUGAAUGUUGGGGGAAGCACAGAUGAUUUUCAAAAGUUAGAGUCAUAAUUCUAUGGUGAGUUAGUUAAGAUUAUUUGGAUUGAAAUUAAGAGAAGAAACUCUACUAAAUUUAUUGGAAGGAGAGAGAAGCGUAUUAUGCUACCUAAGGUUAGAAAUGUAACAAGUAACAGUGAAGUAAAAUCAGGGACUUGAACUUCAUCAUGACUUCCUGUAUCUUUUCUCUUCUCUCUGCUGUUAGCUUCAUACUCUCUCUCUCUGUCCGUCUCUAUCUUUCUGGACAGAUCGGCCUUUUCUCAUUUCCAGUACACAGUGUGUAAAACCUAUGAG